GAGUUUGAUCGUGGCUCAGAUUGAACGCUGGCGGCAUGCCUUACACAUGCAAGUCGAACGGCAGCACGGGAGCUUGCUCCUGGCGGCGAGUGGCGAACGGGUGAGUAAUGCAUCGGAACGUAUCCUGGAGUGGGGGAUAACGUAGCGAAAGUUACGCUAAUACCGCAUAUUCUGUGAGCAGGAAAGCGGGGGACCUUCGGGCCUCGCGCUCUUGGAGCGGCCGAUGUCGGAUUAGCUAGUUGGUGAGGUAAAGGCUCACCAAGGCGACGAUCCGUAGCAGGUCUGAGAGGAUGAUCUGCCACACUGGAACUGAGACACGGUCCAGACUCCUACGGGAGGCAGCAGUGGGGAAUUUUGGACAAUGGGGGCAACCCUGAUCCAGCCAUGCCGCGUGAGUGAAGAAGGCCUCGGUUGUAAG
rnacentral:rRNA from 1 species